AAUGAUUUGAUCAAUGAAUCCACAAUAUGCUUUUCUCCUGUGUGUUAGACAUCACAAAUGAGAAUAUGUUAAUGGAUUGUUUUUUUGAGAAGUCAUUAUAAAAUAGCAGAAUUUAUCACUUUGCCAAUAUAACUUGUACGUAUAUUUAAACUUACAGAUAGCAUUGAUGCAAACAAAAUAAUUAUUAACAAUUGACCCCUUGUGUGAUGAGAUGAGAUAUGAAAGAACAUGUCUAAGGAAUUGGAGUUUCAGAUACUUCAUCAAACGAUUAACGAGCAACUCCCCAUCUGAUUGGAAGAAUAAAAUUCUUCAGCAUAAUAAACAAAAAGUGAUGGCCACAACUGCAGACCACUUAUCUUAAAGUUUGCAGAAACGUAUUUGCGGCAGAAAGACAGCCUCUUGUGAUGUUUCUAUUGAAUUGAUAAUGCUGAGUUUAGAAGACAAGUAGCAAUUGUUCUAGUGAAAGAGUCAGAAAGCGUGGAGGACUACUGCAUAUACUGCAACCUUGUCAGUUGUGAAAAGGAAAGUGAGGAUUGCACGAUGGUCCAGUGUGAUUCUUGCAAGAGGUGGGUACAUAUGCCCUGCAUUCCAGAAGGAACAAAUCAUGAAAUCCUCACUGAUGAGGAAGAAGAAUACGAGUGCAAAAAAGUGCAUAGUUCAGUUCUUUAUCAGAAAAAUGACAUUAUCUGUAAAUAGUUGUUGUUAAAAAUGGCUUUGAACAAAAAGCUAACCUUUUAUUUAUAUACCGGAUUACAAUAAAGUUUUUAAAAUUGGAAAAACA